rnacentral:rRNA from 1 species
GUGGCAGACGGGUGAGUAACAUGUGGGUAUCUUCCCUUUGGCCUGGAAUAACACGAGGAAACUUGUGCUAAUACCGGAUAAGUCUUUACGGAGAAAGCUUUAUGCACCAUUGGAUGAGCCUGCACUUGAUUAGUUUGUUGGUGGGGUAAUGGCCUACCAAGACAAUGAUCAAUAGCUGAUUUGAGAGGAUGAUCAGCCACAUUGGGACUGAGACACGGCCCAAACUCCUACGGGAGGCAGCAGUAGGGAAUCUUGCACAAUGGGGGAAACCCUGAUGCAGCGAUGCCGCGUGAGUGAAGAAGGCCUUUGGGUUGUAAAGCUCUUUCGUCGGGGAAGAAAAUGACUGUACCCGAAUAAGAAGGUCCGGCUAACUUCGUGCCAGCAGCCGCGGUAAUACGAAGGGACCUAGCGUAGUUCGGAAUUACUGGGCUUAAAGAGUUCGUAGGUGGUUAAAAAAGUUGGUGGUGAAAUCCCAGAGCUUAACUCUGGAACUGCCAUCAAAACUUUUUAGCUAGAGUUUGAUAGAGGAAAGCAGAAUUUCUAGUGUAGAGGUGAAAUUCGUAGAUAUUAGAAAGAAUACCGAUUGCGAAGGCAGCUUUCUGGAUCAUUACUGACACUGAGGAACGAAAGCAUGGGUAGCGAAGAGGAUU